rnacentral:rRNA from 1 species
GACGAACCCGUGCGAACGUUGUUCGGAAUCACUGGGCAUAAAGGGCGCGUAGGCGGGCCGUAAAGUCAGGGGUGAAAUCCUCCAGCUUAACUGGAGAACUGCCUUUGAUACUGACGGUCUCGAGUGGGGUAGGGGCGUGUGGAACUGAUGGUGGAGCGGUGAAAUGUGUUGAUAUCAUCAGGAACUCCGGUGGCGAAAGCGACACGCUGGACCUUUACUGACGCUGAGGCGCGAAAGCCAGGGGAGCAAACGGGAUUAGAUACCC